AACGAACGCUGGCGGCAGGCCUAACACAUGCAAGUCGAACGAAGCCUUCGGGCUUAGUGGCGGACGGGUUAGUAACGCGUGGGAACGUGCCUUUCACUACGGAAUAGUCCCGGGAAACUGGGUUUAAUACCGUAUACGCCCUUCGGGGGAAAGAAUUUCGGUGAAAGAUCGGCCCGCGUUAGAUUAGGUAGUUGGUGGGGUAAUGGCCUACCAAGCCUACGAUCUAUAGCUGGUUUUAGAGGAUGAUCAGCAACACUGGGACUGAGACACGGCCCAGACUCCUACGGGAGGCAGCAGUGGGGAAUCUUGGACAAUGGGCGCAAGCCUGAUCCAGCCAUGCCGCGUGAGUGAUGAAGGCCUUAGGGUCGUAAAGCUCUUUCGCCAGGGAUGAUAAU
rnacentral:rRNA from 1 species